GUCUACGGCCAUAUCACCCUGAACAUGCCCGAUUUCGUCUGAUCUCAGAAGCUAAGCAGGGUCGGGCCUGGUUAGUACUUGGAUGGGAGAAUAUCAUGAAAUGAAUAAG
rnacentral:rRNA from 1 species